UCCAUCAAUAAGUUUCUUCGGAAAUAAGCUUAUGAAGGAAGAGCUGCCUGAUGACGUUUAUCUUCGCUGCUUCUUGACUGUCACACUAGCAACCUUCAUGUGUCCCACACCCAACACAAAGCCAAGCACCAAAUAUUUGGGAGCACUUGUUGAUGUGUCAAAGUAUAAAGAUCUUGAUUGGUGCUCUUUUGUCCAUACAUGGAAUAUCUCUUGUGUCAAGAAAUAUCAAACAGACAAGCUGAAGGAGAAACGGAUAACAACACUUUGGGAGGCUGCAUAUAUCAGCUAGCAGUUCGGUGUCUAGAUUUCAACAAUUUUGGAUCAAUAACAAUCCCUCCAGCACUGCCUAGGAUUUGCUUCUGGAAAGGACAAACCAUUAAACAUUUCAGUGAUAUGCUCCUCGGGAAAGAUGGACUCUAUGGAGCUCUCCAAAUCAAAGAUGAGGCAGAAACUUGCUAUGCACAAACUGAUGGUGCAUGCGCAAGCACCUCCAAGAACUCAAACAUCAGAAAAGCUAUACAUAGGGUCUUAGGCAACUCUUUUUCAGAGAAGAUCAAAGAAGAUAUAUUCCUCAAUUUUCAGGAGCGCGUAAAAGAUCAAAACCUGUCCACAUGUCUGAUAGCAAAACAAGUGUUGCUAGACACUUUGAACAUUGUUUCUUCUUCUUUCAAUGGCUCUCAACAUACAGAGAAGUUAGAGUCCUCCGACAAUUUGUACAUGCCAACUGACGAAGAUACUGGGUCUGGAAGUACUAUUAGAGUUGAUUCCAAUGGGAUUGAGAUAAACAGUGAUGGAAGAGGCAGGAAGAAGAGAAUGAAGACUAGUACACAGCAGUCAGAAACUUCAACAACUAAGGACAAUCUAUUGGAAGUUAAAAUAAAGGGAAGCAGACUUGAAGCAGCUGUGGAAGAAGGGGAAGCUGAAAUGCAAUCACUACCGGGCAAUGGUCACACGAAAGAGCUCGAAAAAGAAGCUGUAAUGGAACAAACCAUGCAGAAUAGCAACAUCGCAACACAGCAACCAGAGAUGAAUAUGCUUGAUGCAGAUACCAAUAUUCCCAAGUGCAAUGCUAGUGAUUGUUCGACUCAAAAAGAAGCACCAGAAAAGAGCACUAGCCUGAACUACAUGUUGUUAUCAGCUAGAUUGGCAAGAGCACUCGAAACGACAGAACAAGAUAUGAGCUCAAAGGAUGAAGCCAGCACGCAUGUACCACCAACUUUCUCAGGUUUCCAACAUAACGCUGUUAACAGUAAUCAAUCUGAGUGCACCGAAAGCAAGACAAUGUAUCAAGCAAACGAAGCAGCAGCAAUUGAGUGUGUGGAAUUAAAUACCACUGCCUCCCCACAAGACAACAAUAACCAAGAUCAUUUUCGUUUCAAUGAAGUCAGAGAGCAGGGGAAACAUGCAGGACUUGAUAUUGAUAUCAACAUACCACUAUCAAAUAGCGGUAUAGAUGACAAGCAGAAACAUGUGGAAGAUUUCCAACACACUCUGCAUCCAUUGGACAUUGCAAGACAAAAGUAUUUCUUUUUCUUUUUGACUUCACCUUUUUGGCUACAAAAUUCACCCACUCAAUUUUUUAUUCAUUUCAGGAAGCUAAGAAAAAAUAUAAAUGGAAUACAAGUAAGGACAUAAUCAAAGGAUUUAGCUCACAGAAAGAGCAUGCGACAACAGAAAUGUGCAAGUACAGAAACUUUCUUCCCGGGUUCGAAGAAAUAGACGGCAUUAUUGACUUGACAUCUCCUGCCGCACACACACCAAAGACACGGGACAAUACAAAAACGUGUUAUUACCCAAUGAGAACACGGAACUAUGAGAAUGAUGUAAGCUCAUCACAAAAGAACAAGAAGAGUUACUUGACAACACCAUUUAUUGGCAAGAGGCUUUUUACAGACGAGGUCAUCGAAGAAGAUGACCAAGAUGGGACCAAA